rnacentral:misc_RNA from 1 species
AAGUCGUAACAAGGUCUCCGUUGGUGAACCAGCGGAGGGAUCAUUACAGAGUUUAUAACUCCCAAACCCAUGUGAACUUACCUUUUGUUGCCUCGGCGGGGCCGCUCCCCUUCACAGGGACGGGCCUGCCGGUGGACUACCAAAAAACUCUUGUUAUCUAUGUGUCUCUUCUGAGUUAUACAAACUUAAUAAGUUAAAACUUUCAACAACGGAUCUCUUGGUUCUG